rnacentral:rRNA from 1 species
AUUGAACGCUGGCGGCAGGCUUAACACAUGCAAGUCGAACGAUGAUUUCCCAGCUUGCUGGGAAUGAUUAGUGGCGGACGGGUGAGUAACAUUUAGGAAUCUGCCUAGUAGUGGGGGAUAGCUCGGGGAAACUCGAAUUAAUACCGCAUACGACCUACGGGUGAAAGGGGGCGCAAGCUCUUGCUAUUAGAUGAGCCUAAAUCAGAUUAGCUAGUUGGUGGGGUAAAGGCCCACCAAGGCGACGAUCUGUAACUGGUCUGAGAGGAUGAUCAGUCACACCGGAACUGAGACACGGUCCGGACUCCUACGGGAGGCAGCAGUGGGGAAUAUUGGACAAUGGGGGCAACCCUGAUCCAGCCAUGCCGCGUGUGUGAAGAAGGCCUUUUGGUUGUAAAGCACUUUAAGCAGGGAGGAGAGGCUAAUGGUUAAUACCCAUUAGAUUAGACGUUACCUGCAGAAUAAGCACCGGCUAACUCUGUGCCAGCAGCCGCGGUAAUACAGAGGGUGCGAGCGUUAAUCGGAAUUACUGGGCGUAAAGCGAAUGUAGGUGGCUCAUUAAGUCACAUGUGAAAUCCCCGGGCUUAACCUGGGAACUGCAUGUGAUACUGGUGGUGCUAGAAUAUGUGAGAGGGAAGUAGAAUUCCAGGUGUAGCGGUGAAAUGCGUAGAGAUCUGGAGGAAUACCGAUGGCGAAGGCAGCUUCCUGGCAUAAUAUUGACACUGAGAUUCGAAAGCGUGGGUAGCAAACAGGAUUAGAUACCCUGGUAGUCCACGCCGUAAACGAUGAGUGCUAAGUGUUGGGGGCUUUCCGGCCCUCGGUGCUGGAGCUAACGUAUUAAGCACUCCGCCUGGGGAUUACGACCGCAAGGUUGAAACUCAAAAGAAUUGACGGGGACCCGCACAAGCGGUGGAGCAUGUGGUUUAAUUCGAAGCAACGCGAAGAACCUUACCAGCUCUUGACAUCUUCUGACAACUCUAGAGAUAGAGCGUUCCCUUUGGGGACAGAAUGACAGGUGGUGCAUGGUUGUCGUCAGCUCGUGUCGUGAGAUGUUGGGUUAAGUCCCGUAACGAGCGCAACCCUUGUUGUUAGUUGCCAGCAUUAAGUUGGGCACUUUAACGAGACUGCCGGUGAUAAACCGGAGGAAGGCGGGGAUGACGUCAAAUCAUCAUGCCCCUUAUGAGUUGGGCUACACACGUGCUACAAUGGAUGGUACAACGAGCAGCGACCCCGCAAGGGCUAGCUAAUCUUUCAAAGCCAUUCUCAGUUCGGAUUGCACUCUGCAACUCGAGUGCAUGAAGUCGGAAUCGCUAGUAAUCGCGAAUCAGAAUGUCGCGGUGAAUCCGUUCCCGGGUCU